GUGAAUCAUCGAAUUUUUGAACGCAAAUUGCACUCUCCUCGUAGAGUAUGCCUGUUUGAGGGUCAGCCUAUAAAAAAUCUACAUCGUUGCUGUUUCGCGGUGGCGUUCUUCGCGAAUUGGGUCAUCUUAAAUCUUUUGGUUUUAAGCGACUUAAAAUUUUCUUUUUUUUUCCAUGAACGUAUCUUAGCUUUAUUUCUUUACACCUUUACUGUAUCGAUUUUUAUUAUACAUGACCAUCAUA
rnacentral:misc_RNA from 1 species